rnacentral:rRNA from 1 species
UACGAAGGGGGCUAGCGUUGCUCGGAAUCACUGGGCGUAAAGCGCACGUAGGCGGAUUCUUAAGUCAGGGGUGAAAUCCUGGAGCUCAACUCCAGAACUGCCUUUGAUACUGGGAAUCUCGAGUCCGGGAGAGGUGAGUGGAACUGCGAGUGUAGAGGUGAAAUUCGUAGAUAUCGGGAGGAACACCAGUGGCGAAGGCGGCGAUCUGGGAAGAUACUGACGCUGAGGUGCGAAAGCGUGGGGAGCAAACAGG